GGUCCCGUAGUGUAGUGGUUAACAUGCCUGCCUGUCACGCAGGAGAUCGCGGGUUCGAGUCCCGUCGGGACCGCCA
rnacentral:tRNA from 102 species